UAACAGAAUGGCUCCUAAAGCAGCACCACGUUUCCCAUAGCUACCUGUUUACCUUCAUACAGCAAACUGCACAGCACGGCAGCUCAGGAGCUGCUCUAGGAGAUGGUGAAUCAUCCCUUCCAUGGCAACGGCAAGCCACGGCAGAGCGGCAGGUUCGCCAGCUGAGGAGAGCACCCACGUCAGUCACCUGACUACAAUCCUCCGCUGCCUCUGUGCUAGAGAUUUCAGGAGAACAGGUUUAUGGCGACGACUGCAACAAUUGCCACUGAGCACUAUUUGUAUUUAAAAUUGUAAUUCCAUCCCUCUGUUAAGUCUGAGAGUAACACACCUCCUAGAGUCACAGCAGUCCUUUUUAAAAGAUGAACUUUCUGAUAAUUUGAAAGUAAAUCCUUUCUUUAACUAUAAAAUUAAUUUAAAAAAUGGCAGAUCUAAUGGAUUCUUCGUCACUUGACUGCAUGUUUGUCUAAAAGAUAUGCCCUAGCUUGAAAAGAAAUUAAUUCAGGAAGUCCUGUGGCCUUUGUUUUGCAGGAAGUCAGACGAGAUGAAAAUGGUAGUCCCUUCUGGCCACCUCUACCAGUUUUUUUUUUCUAUGUUUUUUACCAGCAAAAUUAUACUAAUGCUUUUAAUUUUAUGUGCAGUUCAAAUAUUCUGAAAUCUCAUGCAUAGCCUACAUUUGAAAAAGUUUGGUUGUAUUUAAGCAAAAUUCUUAAUGUUAAUGAUUAUGAUUAUAUAGACUAUGGUCAAAAUGGUGACCUGUGGUAACAUCAUAUGACAAAAAGCAGGAAAUUAAAACUCACCAAAUAAAAAAAAAUCUGCAUUCAUAAGCACAAAAAAAUAUAUAUUUUUUGAUGCUGUUGCUUGGCAUGCAAGGUUGUUUGGUUUUCUUAAAAAUGCAUGUGUUACUUUUAACACACUGGGAUUUCUUUUAAGGUUUAAUAUUAAUCACUGCAAUGCUUAGUUUUGAGAUCACUGCAACAUUUACAUAAUCUACCUUAUUCUUAAUGAUAUUUUAUUCUCAACAUCUCCUUCCAUUUUACACAGCUUCAUCUUUUUAACUGGAAAAUUCAGGUUUAAGGAGAGCACAAAAAUUGGCCUGACAACAUGAUCUAAUGAACCACAAAACAGUCUUCGAGGAGAAAAAGUAGCAGGAAGUUCCCUCAUACAAGCAUUCCCCCUUCAGAGGAAGAGAAAUCAUGCUGAGACAACUCACUACUGCAAAUUAAUGAAGUGACUGCAUACAACUCUUUAUUUACGUAAAAUAUAGUUGGUGGAGGGGGAGAUGACAAUUUGAACAAAGUUCCUCCUCGUCUGGAUUGUCAACUGACUCUGCCUUUGGAUCUCACGUGAAUAAAACCCAGCUGGAAUCCAGUCCUGGUGAACAGGGAGUGAAACAGUGUGUCAUCAGAGCCAUAUUUGGUACAGAGCUCUAUGUUACUGCAGCUGUGCUUCUUCUGGAAGAAAAGGACAAAAAGAAGCAGAAUAGUAUUCAGAAGAGAAACUGAGGGAGAGAGAAAAUGAAGUUCCAUUUUCAAAAUGGCAAAAAUAAGAUGUAAGAAAUCCUUACGUUACACUAGUACAGACCUAUUAAUGACACUGGAACUAUUCAGAUGGAAGUUUUCAUCAAGAAAAUUGCAGCGGCAGUCACAGGCGUUAUGAAAGAGAAGGAGGCUCUGCUAAUUCUCAACACUACGAGUCAGUUUCUUAGCAUUUGCAUGAUGAAAAACCACUGAAGACAUACUGCUGUCUACAGGAAGAAAUCUCUGAGAUUUUAGGCUUCAAGGAAACCAGUAAAAGUUGGAGAAAAAGGAAAAAUCAGGAGAAGGUGAAAGAUGGGCACAUUAAGUUGGGCAGCAAAAGUCAUGUUCUACC